rnacentral:rRNA from 1 species
GACGAACGCUGGCGGCGUGCCUAAUACAUGCAAGUAGAACGCUGAAGCGAGGAGCUUGCUCUUCUUGGAUGAGUUGCGAACGGGUGAGUAACGCGUAGGUAACCUGCCUUGUAGCGGGGGAUAACUAUUGGAAACGAUAGCUAAUACCGCAUAAUAGUAGAUGUGGCAUGACAUUUACUUAAAAGGUGCAAUUGCAUCACUACUAGAUGGACCUGCGUUGUAUUAGCUAGUUGGUGAGGUAACGGCUCACCAAGGCAACGAUACAUAGCCGACCUGAGAGGGGUGACGGCCACCAUGGGACCGGGACCCGGGCCAGGCUCCUAAGGGAGGGAGCAGUAGGGGAUCUUCGGGAAAGGAGGGAAGUCUGAACGGGGCAAGGCGCGGUGAGGGAGGAGGUUUUCCGAUCGUAAAGCUCUGUUGUAUGAGAAGAAAGAGUGUGAGAGUGGAAAGUUCACACUGUGACGGUACCUUACCAGAAAGGGACGGCUAACUACGUG